AGAAUCAACGCUGGCGGCGUGCCUAACACAUGCAAGUCGCACGAGAAAGGGACUUCGGUCCUGAGUAAAGUGGCGCACGGGUGAGUAACACGUGAAUCAUCUACCUCCGAAUGGGGAAUAACUGAGGGAAAUCUUAGCUAAUACCGCAUAAUACCUACGGGUCAAAGCAGCAAUGCGUUUGGAGAGGAGUUCGCGGUCGAUUAGUUAGUUGGCGGGGUAAUGGCCCACCAAGACGAUGAUCGAUA
rnacentral:rRNA from 1 species